GGGUGCUGUAAAAUGUGUUAACGGGAGCUCUGUGCGUUUGUUACACGUCUUGGCUGCUUGCCCAGCUCAGCUCUUAAUCGAGGCAUGAUCACGGACUGGAGGGAGCCCUCUCUGCCGCCUCGGCUGCCCUGCUCCCGGACCUGGCCCAGCUCUCACCGCUGACAUGGAAAGACCUACCACCAGUAACGUGAUGCCGAAGAGGGAUCACGAGAGAGAUCUGGAGCUGGACAAGAAGAUUGAGGCUCUCCGCAGGAAGAAUGAGGCACUGAUGAAAAGGUACAAGGAGGUGGAAGAGGACAGGAAAAAAGCAGAAGAGGA